rnacentral:lncRNA from 1 species
UCACCGCGCGGCCGCAGGCCGUGCAGCGCCGCGUGCGCGCCUCGCCGCCACGCAGCUGCUUGCCGGCCGCGUCACCGCGCGACGUGGACGCCCGUGACCUCUGCGUCUCGACCUCUUGAGCGCCUGCGCGGCCGACCUCGAGCUCACUUACUCCGGCGACCGAAAGCACCCAGUGAAGCUCCACCGUCCAAUACCCUCUACACGCAACCCCUCUGGCCAAUUCGAGUUCUCCAACACCUUCGCCAUAUCCUUGCGAACCCCGUGUACGCCCAGGAACCCUCCCUGCCCCUCUCAAUCGCCCGGGCGCCGUCUUUCUUCCUCAGCUCCGGCUGAAAACGCCGCCGAGGAGCACCUCAACGUGGACAGGCCACCUCGAGCCAUUGCAGGACAAGAUACGGCCACCAUCAGGUGCGCACUAGUCCGGGCGAGCUUCCCCGCUGCUCCAAUGCCGCCGACGAGCACUCCAGCGCCGAAACCACGAUCUCCGGCGAGUUCCUCUGUUUUCAGUCGCGGCCAGGGACUUCGGGCGACAAUUUGAAGUUUCCCAGGGGUCUAAUUGCAGAGACUGUGACUCAGGUGAAUAGUGCUAUAAGGACUUGUUUGUAGAUGUUUUGUUGAAUCUUUAAAAAUUCAUAUCUAGAGUUUGGUAGCUCCAAUUUUGGUGAACCAAAUUUUGUUGUGCUCCUUGAGAUGUCUAGUUUUUAUUAAAAAUAUGAAACUGACCAUGUUUUGUAGUAAAAUAAUUGGUUAUGAUUUAUGCCUUUUAAUUAUGUUUAAAAAAGGAGAAAUUCAUAUCUUAUUCUGUGUAGAUCCUAUUGCCCUGAAAUUUUUAUGGUGUUCUCAUGAUGUUAUGUGAAUGUUGCAGUAAAAAUUUCAUGUUCAGUAAAUGAUAUAUGGUUAAGUUAUUAAUUUAUCUUAUUUAAUGCUUAUUAAAUAGUUUAAAAUUAAACUAAAAAUAAAUAAAUGUAAAAUAUGGUUCCACUGCCUUUAUAUGAGGUCUUUAUAUCAUACAAAUACAUAAUUUAGCUAUGUGUUUGUAGAAAAUGUCGAGUUUCUUAUUUAUCUUGAUGCUACAUGCUUUCUUGUGAUGGAAAUUUAUCUUUUUCAUGGAAAUUGCUAUACUUAUACAAAUGGUAUGAAAUUUAUACAGUAGACUUUGGAGAGCAUAUAUGUGCUUCUGUAGUUUUCUCAGAUUUUAUUGUGUACUUUUGAUAUAUGGUUAUUACUUUGUCUAUUUAUCUAAAUAAAUUAAUAAAGACAUAAAAAGAAUUUAUUUAGGGAUGACCAUGAUAUUUUCUAGUAUCUCUUUGAUGUAUUUCAACUUUUGGUGAGCUGGGUUUUGCCCAGGUUCAAGUUUGGAACAUAAAUGAAAUAUGAUUUCUCUAUAAUUUAAUUGUUAGUGGUUUCUUGAUAGUUUUUAGAGCAUUAUGAAUUUCUCUAGGUAAAUAAUGUUGGAUAUGAAACUUGUCUAUAACAAAGUUGUAUAGAAUUCAUGUAUCUAGCUGGUGUUAAAUUUUGGUGGCAUUUGGCUCUAUAGUUUCUGAGUUAUGCCUGUUUAAAUUUAAGUUUCAGAAAUGGUUUCUUUCUGUCAAAUCCUGGAUCAGUUUCUGUAGUUGUGCAAUUUCAACCUACUAAACUUAUGAAUUAUGUUUUCAUGAUAAAAGAUGAAUUGUAGUAAUUUUCAUAAGCUUUCCAAAAUGUUAUGGAUCAUGAAUUUUGAUGAUCUAGAACUCUGGUUAUAGAUGUAUGAAUCUUAAUGUCUGAUUCUGUCCAAGGUCUGGACAGAAUUGUUUAUUCAUACUGUUUGGCCAUGUUAUCUAUUAAAUCAGUUCUCGAAGAUAAUAAUAAAGUUGUAGAAAAUUAUAUAAGCUUUCCAGAAAGUCUAAUAUCACCUUUAUUGGAUGCUUGGAUCUCUAAUUAUGGUUGAAUAAAGUUGUGUAUAUGCUGCUGUCCUGGUUAUGUUGGUAAAUAGAGUUGAUUGUUUUAGCUAGCCUUUACUUAAAUAAUGAUUAGCUUAAUUUCCAAAUUAGAAUUUGAGUGCUUUUGGGAUUAUGUGAUGACCUGAGGUCAUUAUCUUUUAAUGACCUUUGGCACUUAAUUAUUGUUUGAUGUUAAUACUUAAUUAUUGUCUUUAAUAUUUAAUUAAGAAUUUAUUAAGAUAAAUAGAAAGCAUAAUCAUUUUAGGUUUUGAUUGAUCUUUGGGAUUGAUUGAUAACCAGUGGCUACUUGACAUGAUAUGCUCCCUGGUUAAGGAUUCUUUCAUGUAAAUGAUCUUUGUUGCUUAAUAACUACACAACAUUGCUUAAUGAAGAUGAUAAAAUUUGCUUAGUAGUAAUCUAUGCUUUGAUAACUAAGUUAGUUUGUUUCUAUACCAUGAAGGUGAGUUGUACUCGAGGUAGUUUUGUUUGUUGUUAUCAUCCAAGAACAUGUAACCUGUCUUUAUCAUGUCAUGAGCAUCUCAUUGAUCAUGCAUAUGCACCUCUACGUGUAGACUACGCUCCAGAGGAAUCUGAUCCUCAGUGGGUUGCUUCCGAGUUUGUGGGUCCAUCUGGUUUUGCUGAGUUGUCGGACUUCCCUUCCGGUCAAGGCAAGCCCCGGACAUUAAACCCUAUCCUUGUAUUUUCAUAAAGUUAUUUAUAUCACUUGAGUUAAUAUGAUGCAUUAGGUGAAUAGGAGUUGAGUGAAUCCUAUUUGCUGCAUUAUCUACCUUGAUGAUUUCCAUAUUAACCUUGAUACCUGCUUUAUGAAAAUGCUUAGUAUGCUUAGCCCUGCUUAUUAGAUAAGUUUUCAAAUGAGAACGUUUGAAGGGUCGUUGUGGAAUACUGUUAUGGUUAAUAAUGUUUAAACUUGAGACCGGUCGGUGGACUUGCUUUAAGAAUGGAGUCUUAAAGUAGUGUCUCCAACUGUGUCGAUUAAGGACCGUACCGUUGAUUGGCCUGUUGUGAUUGAGAACUUUGAGUACAGCCCACAUGCGGCGGUAAGCCUUACCUAUAGCUAUUCCGAUACUUGAGAACGGCUAACCGCGUACUGGGAGUGGAAAGAUGGCGAGAGUAGCGUGUACCCACCUUACGGAUCUGAGAUGACCGGGAAACAUCUAGAUUGGCUGUAGGAUGGUGGUGUACUGUACUCUCGGGUGACGCUGGACCCGUUCUUGUAUGGGAGGAUCUAUAGAAAAGGUUGACAUAUGCAAGAUUAAGUUCUACAUAUGUCGUGUGGUACUGAAUCCCCAGCUGGGUUUAAUCGAUUCGAAUCGCCGUGUUUCCUCGGAUAUGGAGCCUCAAUCCUCACACCAUCAUCGUAGUAACAAGUGAAUCUUUGGUAUAAGAAAGAUGUGGUAUACUUAUGCAAGUUUGAUAAUAGUUUUGGUUAGUCAUAAAUGAUAACCUUGAGUUAAAACUUGAAAGUAGGUUUAAUCUUAGUAAGCUUUUAUGCAAAAGAAAUGCUUUGAUCUUGCUAAAGCUUUACCUUGAAUCCCUAUAGCCUGCAUACCUGAGUCUUCACCUCUUUUCUAGUCGGUUAAGUCUUGUUGAGUACUUUUGUACUCAGGGUUUUAUAACCCCUGUUGCAGGUGCUGACUUAGACUGCUAAUGGAGGUCAUGUCGGUGGGCGCGACAUGAUUUAUCCACCUCUUCUACCUUAGAAGCUUCACCUAAGAUGCUUCCGCUACUCUAUACACCUUUUGGAAAUUUAGUUAAGUUUAUACUUCAUCAUAUGUUGUAAAUUAAGUUAUAAAUCUUCCGCACUCUGAUGUAAGUUAUUUUUGUAACAAAUGUUGUAAUGUUGUGGUAACUCCAUGUUGAUCCUGUAUGAGAUAAAAUGUGGAUGAUUCGGGGUCCUCCGAGGAUACCCGACAAACUUCUUGAGUCAUUUGGAACUCGUGCAUGCCGAUCACAAGUCUUGGAGACAAUGAUGGGUGCAUGUGGGCCACUUAAUUCAGGAGGUUCUGCCACAGCUGGUAUCAGAGCUCAUACAUGGAUCUUCUGCAACAUUACUUGUGAAAAAUUUCAAAAGGAAUUUACAAAUUAAAAGUUUUGAGGAUAACAACUUAUAAAUAUUCCUUAACUUUUCUUAUGCUUGCUGUUCGGGUUCUACGAAGACUUUCUGCUGACUCAAAUAGAAGACAUUAAAAGAGGCUUCAAGUCUUCGACAAGCCAAGUAAAGAAUCAAACUACUCCAACAAUGCUUUGUCAACAGUCUUGCAGCCUCCCUUUUGAAGCAAUAAAGAUAGUGUAUAAAGUAUGCCCUAUAUAAGCAAUUAUCUCCUAGCUAACGUUGUAAAGACGUAUGGGACGAGCAUAUUGCAUAUCUUGCAUAACAUGACAAUAUAAUGAUACUUAAAAGCCCCUCCUUAUGCUUCAAAACAGUUAUUAUUCGUUAUAGCUGUUUUAUUGAUGAAUCUCAUCAUGUACCAGGUUUCGUUAACUGAUUGAUAAUCUUUUACUCCAUAAGAUCCUAAUCCUUGAUUCAUUUGUUAUGCAUGUGACCUUCCUUGAUUUCAUCUAAUUCGGACACAUGCUACCUCCUUGAUAUCUUUUGUCAACAUUUUUGUUGAUUGAAUGUCACUAUGAUUGUGUCCUCUUAAGGUACCAUGACUUGUGACUUAGGUAACAAUGUCAAAACCUGGGAUCUCCUAUGGCUCAUGACCAUGAGGAAAUACUGCUGGGCGCUCAUUGUUAUCAAAGUAUAUGAUCAUGAUCCCUUAUAGUCCACAAUUAGGGUGUUUCAUUCUUUGGACACUCCUUAGGGAUUCAAAGUUGUCCUUUUGAGUUCCCUAAACACCUUGUGAUUGUGAUCGACUUUUGAUCUCAGUUACAUUCUUGGUCUUGUGAGACAUGGGUUAUUGUUGUGGUGCCCUAUAGUGGUGCCAUGUCCCGUGACCACGGUGCCGCGUCGGAACCUAGAGUCUUUUGUGUGUCCGGAUGACACAAAUUUCUACUGGGCGCGUGCAGGUAUCGAGGUUAUGGACAUGAUCCAUUAUAGCCCCACAACUAAGGUGCCCUCGCUCUUUGAGCCCUAUCAUGGGAACCCAUGCCCAUAUCUUUGUGGGAAUUACCUAAAGCCCCUGACUUGGAUAACCAACAUAUGUUGCUUGAAAGCUAUUGUAACUGUACUCUAUAGUAGGUACCAUGAUCCGUGAUCACGUUAUAGCGUCGAACCUCGUAGUCUCCUGUGGACUGCAGCCAUAAGGAAAUACUACAGGGUGCUCGUUAAACAUCGGGAUCUCUGGUCAUGCUCCACUAUAAUCUACUGUUAGUGUGCUUUCAUCCUCCUUGGAAGCUCAUUUGGAGAUUCAUAUCUUCGUAUGAAUUCUCUAAAAUUCCUGAUUGAUUACAACUUCUUGUUGAUCUUAGUUGUAAUUCUUGGACCAAUCGUAAUUGUUGUAUGAACUUCUCAAAAGUUAAUGUGCUUGACACAUUUCCUUUUCCAUUACUUAACCCCAUGGGUUUUAGUACCCUGGAAAUCUCGGGACGAGAUUUCUUUAAGGGGGAAGGGCUGUAACAUCCCUGAUGUUACGAACACUAAAACUGGAUCAUGUCAUCAUAAGCAUUGCAAAGCAUAUUUGUUAAGCACAUUAUUAUGCAUCAACUUAAAAUAAGGUUAUUUUGGUUGAUUGUGCUUAGGAAAUUAAAGUGUGCUUAUAUUGUGUAUGGAUGUUUGUGUUGGUGAUUAAAACCCUGGGUGGAAGUUUUUCCGAAAGACUUAAGGGGGGAAACCCUAGUUUCCAAAACCCUAGAAUUUGUCCCCUUUUGUGCAAUUCAAAAACAAAGCAAAAUUUGAAGUUGAGUUCAAAAGCAAAGUUGUAAAUCUUGUCAAGAUGUACAACUUUGGUGUUUUGAGUUUUUGAAGUUUCAGUACAAAAUUUAAAGUAAUUUUGAAAAUACAAUUUUCCAGAAAUUGUUCCCUUUUCCGAUUUGAAUCCCCAAUUCAAAAUCUAUUUGGAAUUUUGAAAAGUGGUCAACAUGAAAGUUGUAGGGCUCAAAAAGUUGAACAACUUUCAUGUUGGGAGUUUUUCAAGUUGUUUGGAAAAAUUAAAAGUAAUUUUGGAAAUUCUAAUCUGCUCCAAUUCAAAAUUUGGAAUUUCCCCAAUUUGGGAUUUUGAAAUUCAAACUGUUUUGCCAAAUUCACACUUUUCCACUCAGAUUUAGCUUUGGUCACCAAAAGGAGUUUUGUAGCUUGUAAAAUUCUUCACAACUUCCAUUUUGGUGGAAUUUUGUCUUCAGUUCAAAAUUUGGACGAAUUUUGCAAAACCACAAAACUGGUUGGAUAAAGCUUGCUACAGUAUCCGGAUAUGGAUCACGAGUCCAGUCACCGCGCGGCCGCAGGCCGUGCAGCGCCGCGUGCGCGCCUCGCCGCCACGCAGCUGCUUGCCGGCCGCGUCACCGCGCGACGUGGACGCCCGUGACCUCUGCGUCUCGACCUCUUGAGCGCCUGCGCGGCCGACCUCGAGCUCACUUACUCCGGCGACCGAAAGCACCCAGUGAAGCUCCACCGUCCAAUACCCUCUACACGCAACCCCUCUGGCCAAUUCGAGUUCUCCAACACCUUCGCCAUAUCCUUGCGAACCCCGUGUACGCCCAGGAACCCUCCCUGCCCCUCUCAAUCGCCCGGGCGCCGUCUUUCUUCCUCAGCUCCGGCUGAAAACGCCGCCGAGGAGCACCUCAACGUGGACAGGCCACCUCGAGCCAUUGCAGGACAAGCUACGGCCACCAUCAGGUGCGCACUAGUCCGGGCGAGCUUCCCCGCUGCUCCAAUGCCGCCGACGAGCACUCCAGCGCCGAAACCACGAUCUCCGGCGAGUUCCUCUGUUUUCAGUCGCGGCCAGGGACUUCGGGCGACAAUUUGAAGUUUCCCAGGGGUCUAAUUGCAGAGACUGUGACUCAGGUGAAUAGUGCUAUAAGGACUUGUUUGUAGAUGUUUUGUUGAAUCUUUAAAAAUUCAUAUCUAGAGUUUGGUAGCUCCAAUUUUGGUGAACCAAAUUUUGUUGUGCUCCUUGAGAUGUCUAGUUUUUAUUAAAAAUAUGAAACUGACC